rnacentral:rRNA from 1 species
UACAGAGGGUGCGAGCGUUUAAUCGGAAUUACUGGGCGUAAAGCGUGCGUAGACGGCUAUCUAAAGUCGGUGUGAAAUCCCCCGGGCUCAACCUGGGAACUGCAUUCAAAACUGUCGAGCUAGAGUAUGGUAGAGGGUGGUGGAAUUUCCUGUGUAAGCGGUGAAAUCGUAGAUAUCUGGAGGAACACCGGUGGCGAAGGCGACAU